CCCGGCUCCCAGGGGCGGGGGGGCCGGGGUUUGGCUUCCAUUUUCUGUUUGGCCACCUUCCAUGCGAUGGAGCAAUGUAGCCGAGUUGUGGGUUGACUUAGGCUUGCAUCACCCCCCUGAACCAGAUUGCAUCUGCAGUCAUCUGGAACUGACUACAUGCCAGAACUGAUAAAAGAUGCUGUGGAAACGUGGAUCUCCGGGGCCUCGGCAAGGUAUCCUCACAUACAUAUGCUUUUGCCGUAGCCCGUCUCUUUAUUGCCUGGUCCUCUGGAAGACAAAAGAGUGAGAAUCAGGCGUGUGUCGUUAUCCUGUGAACAGUUUGAGAACUGCUUUGACAGCCGAUAGAAGAAGAUAGCGUGAUGUGGCCACCGCAAGCACACGCUCUUUCUAACAAUUUACGGUUGCGCUAUGAUCCCAAUGAGGAGCGAUGCUUGAACCUCCCUCUGAUUAUGUGUUCUUUUCUCGUACUGUAACAAUAUUGUUUCUUUCCAGCACACAAGCAUUCAUGCAAAAAUGCCAAAAUUCUCCGUGCAGAUUAAAGUAUGUUUACAAAUUAAGGAAAGGCUGGUGUGGAACAAAAGGAAAAAUUAAAUUAUCCUAGCAAUUUUGCACUUCCUUGUAAUCAAAGUCCUGUCUUUGGAAGGUGUUAUGUAGGAUACACACUUGGUGAGGCCUGUGAGAAUUUUCCUUGUGUCAAGACAGCAGGAGUUAGCCCUAGCAAAUCACACGCUUCUAAAAAUGGUGGCCAGUAAGCAAUAGGUGGGCUUUCCUGGGGAAGAGCAGGAAGAAAACUUGGUGAGAGCUUGAUCCUCUGCGGUGUCACCUUUCACAACCGACUGACUGACAAACGAAAGAAAAGGGGAGCUAGAUCCCCGUGAGGAUGGGCGCCUCCUGUUGUGUAAUAGAAUGAAAUCCAGUGAUGUGCUCUCUCCCACUAGAUCUGAUACAACUGCUCUAUGAUAAAGAUUAAUUUCUAAAAAUCAAGUGUAAACCUAUAGGUCAGCCAGUAAGACAGUGACUUGACAAAUUUUUCAUUGCAAGGUGUGCGAUAGUUUCGUGCCUUUAAUCUGCAUCGCUGCAGACGGUGUAUUGUUGAAUCCAGUGAAG